AAGGAGUGGCAGAACAUGCUGUAAUUCUCUACAGCCUCAUAGACUCAAAGGGACUCUUAAGAAUGAGGUCAUCCCUACAGCACUCAGGCUUUCAGUAUGACAUAGAGCAGGUAGUCAUCACUGGGACAGUGUGUCUGUCUCUAGAAGGAGCAGAAUUGGGCAGCACGAUUCACACUAUGAUACAGAAAUUUUGCCUCAUUUCUGCUCCCUGUUGUGCCUAAAAUCUUGCCGGAUUAUCAGCAUCUAAAACCCAACUUCACUGCCACUUUUCAUCAGCAGAAUCUGAAUGCUGUAAAUCUUUCCAGGCUCCAAAAAGAAUAACACUGUUCACAAGAAGUUCAAAGAGGAUUACGCAAAUACCAAAAUGGACUAGUCCAACAAGCACCAAUGGGACCAUUCCUUUGCAGCAGCUCCUGCCACUAUCCACACCAGUUAUGUGAGAGUGCUGCUCCAGUAUGCUCUGCAAGCUGCUAUUCCCUCCUGGAUGAAGAGUGCCCCCACACUGCCAUUCCCAUUGCAAAAGGACUGGAUAUUGAAAAACUUAGCAGCAGGAUGGUAUUGAUGCAUGCAAGCCUACCUCCAAACCAAAUUACAGGUGUCGGCAAAGAAGACUGCGAUGGCUCUGAAAAGGAACCAUUAGCUGUGAAGUUAAUAAAUUCUUCAUGUAUGGCAUGUUGUUCUAAAACUUUGUUUACGUUCGAGUUUGUCUCAUUUUCAGGCCUUACAUACAUUUUGUUAAAUGGAAUAAAUGACUAUCUAUCUACCAAAACCCAACAAAAGGCUUCACAGUUAUUGCUUUGUUGUUGUUGUUGUUGUAAUCUUUGAGAUUAAUGAUUUGUAUCAGUCCCUUCUUGUGAUGAAAAACAGAAAAUCUGUAAAUCAUCAAACAAAUCUCCUUUAUUUUACUAUAGUUGGAGAACUAAAAAAUACACUAAAAAGUAGCACAGUUGGGAACAACUGUUUUUAUUAUUUCCUAA